rnacentral:lncRNA from 1 species
GACUAGUCUAACUUAAUAUACUUACCAGAAUUCCCUCUCUUCUUUCCCAGCAGUAACAUCAGUAUAGUCAAGGAAGGGAAUUGAGCAAUACCUCCUGUACUACCAACAGAUUAUGCUCUGAGAGGAAAUCUGGGGAGCAGAAGGAGCUUGCUCACUAACAGCUCAAUCCAGUAGACCAAGAGUUGCACUGAAGUGAGUAGAAAGGAAGACCUGGAAUGAGAGCCAUAGCUUCACAAAGAUCACUGGAAGACCUAAAGAUGACCACCAUCCUGAGGAAAGACAAUUGCAUACCAUACAAAUACUUGUCCUUGUUGGCUGACCUGCUCGAAGGCUGUAUCAGUUGGAUCAUAAAUUUUGUGACAGUAAUACCUGAAUACUUGAAAUGCCCGUGGGAACAAAAAGACAACCUAUACAAAAGCAUAGUCAUUGUCUUCAGAGGUAAUGGAGGCAAGAGACUGUAAUUUAUCACAAGAAAGCAAGUAAUCUGUCAGUCUGUGACAAAACUGCCCUUUAUUUGAGAGAACAUAUUUAUUGCAUCCAUUCCUGCCUGUAUGACCCAUAAUGACAAUUAAUGACCGUGGUGUGGGCUUGGACAGCAGUCACUGCAGCAAAUAGCAUGCUUUCCAAACAAUGUGGUUUUAG